UUAAAUAAGUUUCCUCUGAACUCUGUGUCUUCCUCCUCUGCCUCCUUCGCUCUUCAUCUUCAAAGUCUGCACCUUUUAGCUCAGUGAAAAGGUUCAAGCUUCAGAAAUAAUGGCGGCCUUCCCUAACCUUAACUCUGAUGCUGGAUUGAAGAAGCUCGAUGAGCAUCUUCUCACUCGCAGUUACAUCACUGGGUACCAGGCUUCAAAGGAUGAUAUCACUGUUUUCGCAGCUCUUGCAAAGCCCCCAAC